AGGCGGCGGCCGCCGGGGCCGGGGCCGGGGCCGGGGACAGGGACAGCGCGGCCUCCGCCAGACCCGGCAGCUCGCCGAUCGCUGCAGCGCAGUCCUCGGUCCUGCGCCGAGCUCACGUCUGGUUCUCCGUUUAUUUGUCUUCCUUUUAGCUCCCAGGAAACGCCGUCCCGCCGUCCGUCCCCCCCGACACCUACUCCAGAAUACGAGCGUACCCGUUCUGUUUUCAGUCAGAAAAGCGCAAAUCCCAAGUGUCGCCAUUUUAAAAGGUGGCACGGAGGGAAAAUCCGCCGCGAGCUGCCGUCGCUUCGGCCGGGGGAGCGGCCCGGUGGGUGCGGGGGAGACCCAGGGCCGGCCCUCGCCGCGCCGCUUAACGGCAGGGAUUCGAGAACGCACGCAAAUUUGAAGUGCAGAAGUCCUAUUAACAUUCAAAGUGAAAUCUUCUAAAGGUCAGCAGCAGAAUUCUACAAUUUUCGAUGAGGCUCAGCACUUCCCAACGCCUCUGUAAAGCAACUCCUUCAAAGGUAUCUUUAGUAUCCUUCACAAAACCUUGGAUCAGAGACUGAAUAUUUUGGCUAUAACUGCUGAAGACAGUAAGAAUGAAGUUAAGUGGCCGUGUACAUCUAGCAAUUCUCUGCAACACUCAUUUCUUUCUCCUUGGAAAAAGCAAGUGGUGCACUACAUUUCUAGCUUAAAAGACAGCAGUCUAGAUCCGAAUAUUAACCGACUUAUAUUUAGAAUUCCCUGCUUGGAAAAGAUGGAAAAUCUCAUCCUCCAAAAUCUUUUAGUUGAUUAGUCUUUCCUUACAGAGCUAAAGCAGUUCGAGAAGUGCUCACGAUGUGUGUGAGAAAGUAGAGCUGUAUCAGAAGCUGAUGAAACAGCAGGGUGGUUUUGCCAAUGAAGUGAAGCAACCUCCCGUGGUACGGAGGGUAGAGACGCCCUAUACAAUCCAGCAUGGGCUGAUUACUGUGAGGGCAAAUGUAAUCCUACCUGUGCUGUCACAGAGUGUGGGUUCAGUAUUUCUGUGUUAUUUGUAUUAUAGAAUGUGGACAUACAGACUGAUGAGAACCUCCUCCUCCUCCUUUGGUUCUUGUUCAUAUCAAUUAGAGUAAGCUCAGGAAAGUUUUGACUUAAAUUAAUGAAACCAAGAUUUUUCUUGGUCUCAGUUUUCUCAAGAAGUGCUGCUGAGAUAGCUACUAAGAUAGCUUUCAAAGAUCUGAGAUUUCAGUGAAUACAUAAUAGUGUUAAAAAAGGAGGGGAAGCAGUAGCUUAGGGAGAGCAUUAUAUCAGUUAUAAUAAAAAAUAGCCAGUAACAAAAAGACUAAGCUUGUGGAGUCAAAGAAUAAAUUCUGCUGGCUGAGGGACAUUCUACCUGCAGGAAUUCUGAGGGAAGACACUAGCUUUAAUAAGAUCCAGAUAAAUAAAACACAUCCAAACAAUCUCUUCAUGUAGUUGCGUGUGUUAAGAACUAAGUUUUGUCUAAGCAUUCAGGCAGGAAAUCUAGGAAGUUAAUAAAUGUGUUGUACCAGUGCUGUUUAUUUCCCUUGAUGAACUCAACAACAAAGAAAUUUUUUUUCUCAUUUAAAAAUAUGGGAUCAAAACUACCGUAAUAAUUUCAGCUGCAUUGUACAGUGUGUUUAAGUACCUUUCGGUCCAGGAGAAUUUGACAUAUUUUAAUACGUAAGCAGGAUUUGGUGCAGGGAUUUUUAAAUACAGUAUCUGUAUUGCACUUUGUAUUCCAUUUAUUUCAAAGAUUGUGAAAUUCCAAAUAAUUGUGCUAUGGUGAUUUUGUACGUUAAUUUCUAUAGUAUAGCUAGAUUAGUACCUAGAUCCAGACAGAAGAAACUGGUGGUGGGGAGGGAGGAGCUGUAGUAUGGCAUUGGGUACACAUGCAAGUAUGACAAAAUUCUCGUGAAAUGACUUUCAAAUGCCAGCUGACAUUUGUGAAAGAAUAAAGUCUUUGUAUUGCUUAAUUUAACAGUUAGAUUUUGCUAGCUCUAAGGCAUAAGCAAUGCUACACAAAUCUUUCAAACUUUUCUCCCAGUUAGUCUUAACCCCAUUAUAGGAAAUUUCUCCAGUGCCUCUCCGUUCACCUUAUGAAUCUCUUGAAUAAUUUAUCUUGACUACUCAGUGCAAAUCAUAUUUGAUGAGAACUGCUCUCCACGAGCAGACUACAGACUCAUGACUCCCAGAAUUUCAGAAAAGAUGAACUCAUGACACUGAAAGAUUUUAAAGAUAAGCUGAGCAAAAUAUGAUGUCUCAACUUUUUAUCUCAUCUACUUAUAUAUUAGAAAUGUAGUUUUUUAACUUUCAGAAACUAAAAUUGAGAUUGUCUAUUUUCCUUACUAUUUGUGUUAUUUUUGAGAAAUGUAUCUUCCUAAUGAUGUUUGUCAUUUUCAGCUAUAUCUAUACGUAGCAUUUUAGAAGAGAAAUAGCUUGUUUCAUUGUUUACUAGAGACUUCAUUGAAUAUAAUCAGUGGACACUUGUAAUUUCUGUCUUCAGUUACAAUACAGUGGCAUUCGAAAUCCUUUUGGAAAGCUAUUUUAAAAUCACAUAGAUCUUUUUAUUAUGAAAGCACAAACCGUCUUUGGGUUUGAAACAAAAGGCAUGUUUAAAUUUCUUCAUGAAUCCAUUUAACUAAUUCGGUGACCAUCUCUCACUGCUUGCACAUAUAGUAUGAAUUGGUUUCUGAAUGGAGUCUAUAAUUUACCCCAUUGCUUGCUUCACUGCAUAAUAAUUCUCCCACAUUAUAUGAAGGCUACUAUUAAAAAAUAGUGAAAUAUAUAACUUUGAGAGAUCUGAUAUGAAAAGCUAGACAAAUUCUCUCUAUUUAUGCUUCUGCUAUUCAGUUGUCAAGUAACUACAGUGUUCACAUAGUAAAUACAUUUCAAUUUAGUUCUAUGUUUUGCAUGAAUACUGCAACUCUGAUAUUGGUGAAACCUGUGGUGGCAAAAUGUUGUUUUCUAUUUCCUGUAUCUUUUUUAUUACCUCAGGUGCUUAGACAGGGUGAAGUGCAUGUUUAAUAUUCAAGCAAAACAUAUACAAUGUGAUCCUGCUCCUCUGAAGUCACUGGAGUUUUGCCAUUUACUUCAAUGGAAAUACGAUUAAGCUCCGAGGCGUGCGGUUAAGGAAGGAGCCAUUGUCUUCAGUGAUUCUUAAGCAUAGAGUUGAUUACUUUGCUGAAGCAGGCCAAAUAUGCCUUCAUGUUGUAUGUUCUAUCCAAAUGUUGUUAUGCAAUUGUUGCAAUGAUGCUGUGGCUCAAUUGCCUGUGUGGUGCAAAGAACUCAAAACAGUUGUCAGUAAUACUUCUCUACUACUAACUUCUUAUUUGUUAUAGACAAUUAUUUGUUUAAUCACUGCUUCUACUGUGGUUCAAAUAAAUGCCAGUGCAAAUGAGAGCAAAAA